AUGCCUGCUUUGGAGAGACCAUGAUCAUGAAGGUGGUUCUCCCAGGGUGAGGUGAGCAUAUUGCACUGCUGGUGUGCUGAUGCCCAAAAUAUCCCCAAAUGCGGGAUUCUCCACGGCAACAUUUGUGGCGCAGGGGACUGUGUUCAUGUCAUCCCCC